UAUAUUUUUUUAUUUAUCUGGAAUUAAAAUUGAUCCCUGUAGCAACAAAUUAAAACUGAUCAAAUGAGAUAUAACAAGAAAUCUCUCUGCAGUCAUUAAUUCAAAUCCACAUAAAACUUAUCACUGAUAAAUUAUUAAUCAAUACUAUAUAUACUAUACUAAUAUGAUAAAUUGAUUGUCUCUGUUGGAGUCAGUCAGAGCAUUUCCAUAGAGAGCCACUUUGCAUCAGCAGCACCAUGCUCCAGUGCUCUGGGAGAGUUUAUAGUCCUGAGAGUUGAAGACUGGAUGACUGACAGCUGUCCUUCAUGACAACAGAAGCCACAGAAAUCCUCCUCAUCAAAAACAUGACUUUGACCUCCGUCCUCAUCUGGACUCUCCUCUGCUGCUGCUUCACAGAGUCCAGAGGCCAGGUCACAGUGACUCAGCCUGGAGCAGUGAGAUCUGCUGUGGGAGGUUCCGUCACCAUCAGCUGUAGGGUCAGUCCAAAGGAUGAUGGUGAUUGUGGCUCAUCACAGAACCUCCCCUGUCUAUCCUGGUACCAACAAAGAAAUGGAGAAUCUCCUAAACUGCUUAUUUACACAGGAAGUCAAAGACCAUCAGGGAUUCCAGA